rnacentral:rRNA from 1 species
UACGGAGGGUGCAAGCGUUAUCCGGAUUCACUGGGCGUAAAGGGUGCGUAGGCGGUCGGGUAAGUCUGAUGUGAAAUCUCACAGCUUAACUGUGAAACUGCAUUGGAUACUAUCCGGCUAGAGGAAUGGAGGGGAGACUGGAAUACUUGGUGUAGCAGUGAAAUGCGUAGAUAUCAAGUGGAACACCAGUGGCGAAGGCGAGUCUCUGGACAUUUCCUGACGCUGAGGCACGAAAGCCAGGGGAGCAAACGGG